rnacentral:misc_RNA from 1 species
UACGAGGGGUCCUAGCGUUGUUCGGAAUCAUUGGGCGUAAAGCGGGUGUAGGCGGUCAUGUAAGUCAGGUGUGAAAGCCCCGGGCUUAACCUGGGAAGUGCAUCUGAUACUGCAUGACUUGAGUACGGUAGAGGGUAGUGGAAUUCCUGGUGUAGUGGUGAAAUACGUAGAGAUCAGGAGGAACACCGGUGGCGAAGGCGGCUACCUGGACCAGUACUGACGCUGAGACCCGAAAACGUGGGGAGCAAACAGG